rnacentral:rRNA from 1 species
CCUACGGGAGGCAGCAGUGAGGAAUAUUGGUCAAUGGGCUUACGCCUGAACCAGCCAAGUCGCGUGAGGGAAGACUGCCCUAUGGGUUGUAAACCUCUUUUGUCAGGGAGCAAUUGGCGCUACGUGUAUCGUUAUCGAGAGUACCUGCAGAAAAAGCAUCGGCUAACUCCGUGCCAGCAGCCGCGGUAAUACGGAGGAUGCGAGCGUGAUCCGGAUUUAUUGGGUUUAACGGGUGCGUAGGCGGAAUGCCAAGUCAGCGGUAAAAUCGCGGGGCUCAACCUAGGUCCGCCGUUGAAACUGGCGUUCUUGAGUGGGCGAGAGGUAGGCGGAAUGCGUGGUGUAGCGGUGAAAUGCAUAGAUAUCACGAAGAACACCGAUUGCGAAGGCAGCAUACCGGAGCCCAACUGACGCUGAAGCACGAAAGCGUGGGUAUCGAACAGGAUUAGAUACCCGGGUAGUC